GAUGAACGCUGGCGGCGUGCCUAAUACAUGCAAGUCGAGCGAACAGACGAGAAGCUUGCUUCUCUGAUGUUAGCGGCGGACGGGUGAGUAACACGUGGAUAACCUACCUAUAAGACUGGGAUAACUUCGGGAAACCGGAGCUAAUACCGGAUGAUAUUUUGAACCGCAUGGUUCAAAAGUGAAAGACGGUCUUGCUGUCACUUAUAGAUGGAUCCGCGCUGCAUUAGCUAGUUGUUAAGGUAACGGCUUACCAAGGCAACGAUGCAUAGCCGACCUGAGAGGGUGAUCGGCCACACUGGAACUGAGACACGGUCCAGACUCCUACGGGAGGCAGCAGUAGGGAAUCUUCCGCAAUGGGCGAAAGCCUGACGGAGCAACGCCGCGUGAGUGAUGAAGGUCUUCGGAUCGUAAAACUCUGUUAUUAGGGAAGAACAUAUGUGUAAGUAACUGUGCACAUCUUGACGGUACCUAAUCAGAAAGCCACGGCUAACUACGUG
rnacentral:rRNA from 1 species